GGUCUGCUAGGCCUUGCCCUCCUGUCUGUGGUGGGAGCCUGGGUCUAGUUUAGCAAAUAAGAUACAAGUAGAGGUAAUGUGGUUACUUCUUGGCUGGAGCAUUUCGUUGUCUGUUUGAGGUUGCUGAGAGCUCUCUUUCCCUCUGCCGUGGUGACCAAUAGCAUGUAAGAUGGAACAUAUACCCAAAGCAACAUGGAACGAGCUUUGACUCUUGAUCGGCAAAUAGCCGGAAAGAAAACUGAACCUUUAUUAUUAUAAGUGACUAAGUUGUGUUACUAUAUCAUAACCUAGUCUUUCCUGUUACAAUAACUUUGAGGAAUAUGAUUUGUUUGUAUAUUGCUAAGGGCUGAAUUGUGUCUCCCCAGAAUUUAUAUGAUGAAGCCUACACUCUCAAUGUGACUGUAUCUGGAAAUAGGGUCUUCAGUAGGUAAUUAAGGCUAACAGAGAUCAUGAAGGUGGAACCAUAAUCCCAUUGGACUGUGGCCUUGUAAGAAGAGAAAGAUCUCUCCUUCUCUUUCUCUCUCUCUCUCUCUCUUUCCCAUCUCCCUAUUUUUAUUUCUUUCUGAAUUUUCAUUUCUCUCUUUCUCUCCACUCCCCUCCCCCACUUAGGGACACAUGAAGACCAAGGCCGUCUGCAAGCCAGGAGGAGAACUCUCCUCAGAACCCGACCACCUGUGGCAUUCUGAUCUGGGACUUUCAGUCUCUGAACUAUACAGACUUUUAAUGAUAACACAAACCAUUUCUGUACUUCACGAACUGAAACGGCGAUUUGUGGUGUGGCAUCGUGCUCAGUCUUCCUCGAGUGUUCCCUGAGAUGGAGGCCUUCUCCUUCACCUCCAUCUGUCCUGAUUGCAACCAACACUUUAAAAACCUUCCAGUUGCACGCAAUGGAACAUAAAUACAUGCUACAUUGCAUGUGGUAAUGGUUAAAGUAUUAUUUGUUCUGGGUGGUGAUGUAAAGUAGAUUUCUUACCAAGGCAUGUAUUAAAAUGUUUGAGAACUAGUAUCUUAAUGUAUAUAUUUGGGCUGAGUGUUGGAUGUCUCCUUUUAAUAUCAUCAGUGUGCCUCUAUGAUGGAGUAUUUA